AUUGAACGCUGGCGGCAUGCCUUACACAUGCAAGUCGAACGGUAACAGGUCUUCGGAUGCUGACGAGUGGCGAACGGGUGAGUAAUACAUCGGAACGUGCCUAGUAGUGGGGGAUAACUACUCGAAAGAGUGGCUAAUACCGCAUGAGAUCUACGGAUGAAAGCAGGGGAUCGCAAGACCUUGUGCUACUAGAGCGGCCGAUGGCAGAUUAGGUAGUUGGUGGGAUAAAAGCUUACCAAGCCGACGAUCUGUAGCUGGUCUGAGAGGACGAUCAGCCACCCUGGGACUGAGAAAAGGCCCAGACUCCUACGGGAGGCAGCAGUGGGGAAUUUUGGACAAUGGGCGCAAGCCUGAGCCAGCAAUGCCGCGUGCAGGAUGAAGGCCUUCGGGUUGUAAACUGCUUUUGUACGGAACGAAAAGCCCCGGGUUAAUACCCUGGGGUCAUGACGGUACCGUAAGAAUAAGCACCGGCUAACUACGUGCCAGCCGCCGCGGUAA
rnacentral:rRNA from 1 species